rnacentral:rRNA from 1 species
CAGCAGCCGCGGGAAUACGUAGGUCCCGAGCGUUGUCCGGAAUUAUUGGGCGUAAAGCGCGCGCAGGCGGAUAGGUCAGUCUGUCUUAAAAGUUCGGGGCUUAACCCCGUGAUGGGAUGGAAACUGCCAAUCUAGAGUAUCGGAGAGGAAAGUGGAAUUCCUAGUGUAGCGGUGAAAUGCGUAGAUAUUAGGAAGAACACCAGUGGCGAAGGCGACUUUCUGGACGAAAACUGACGCUGAGGCGCGAAAGCCAGGGGAGCGAACGGGAUUAGAUACCCGGGUAGUCCCUGUCUCUUAUACA